UACAGAGGUCCCAAGCGUUGUUCGGAUUUACUGGGCGUAAAGGGUGCGUAGGUGGUGGGGUAAGUUCUGCGUGAAAGCUUCGGGCUCAACCCGAAAAUUGCGUCGAAAACUAUCCCGCUAGAGGAUCGGAAGGGAGACUGGAAUUCUCGGUGUAGCAGUGAAAUGCGUAGAUAUCGAGAGGAACACCUGUGGCGAAGGCGAGUCUCUGGACGAUUCCUGACACUGAGGCACGAAAGCUAGGGGAGCAAACGGG
rnacentral:rRNA from 1 species